rnacentral:rRNA from 1 species
UACGGGGGGGGGCAAGCGUUUGUUCGGAAUUACUGGGCGUAAAGGGCUCGUAGGCGGCCAACUAAGUCAGACGUGAAAUCCCUCGGCUUAACCGGGGAACUGCGUCUGAUACUGGAUGGCUCGAGUUUUGGGAGAGGGAUGCGGAAUUCCAGGUGUAGCGGUGAAAUGCGUAGAUAUCUGGAGGAACAUCCGUGGCGAAGGCGGCUCUCUGGGACGGUACUGACGCUGAGACGCGAAAGCGUGGGGAGCGAACAGG